GUUUCAACUUUGUCUUCUUCAAGACCAGAGGCUGGCACUGAAGACUCAGCUUUACCUGGGAGCAUCCUUCAAGCUUCUAUUUGACACAGAACUUCAAGUUCAGAAUGACUUUUGAAUGUUUUGCUAAGAAGAAGCCCAUUACAGGCCCCCUAAAGAUGCCAUUACCCUCAGACAACAGGAAGCAGUCUGGGGAACACAACAUCCACAGUCCCAAGGGGUGAGGUGGAUGGUUUUUGGUUAUUUGACUCCUUAGAUGUUGUAUGCAGACAUCCAUGUUAUCUGAAGACUUCCUGUCUCUUCCUUUGAUGGUAUUACAUCACUGUGCAUCUCUGAUAUUGACUGGAAUUUGAAGAAAUGGGCCACACGAGAUUAGCAAAAAUACUUCAUUAAAAAAAAAAAUCUUUGCUAAAUUUACUUUGUAAGUUUCAAACUCUGGUGCCAUGGUCAUUUUCUCCUGACAACCAGCCUGUAUACCAAGCUUAACUGGGAGUUCUCAUGGAUUCAACAGCUAUUUAAAAGAAAAACAAGGGUAAUGUACUUUGUGCAAACAACAGCAAUCAAAUCUGAAUGUCGAACAAAAGAUUCCUCCAGCACUUUGUUUCUUUAAGAGUUUCAGAAGCUAUAUGGCAUCAUAAUUCAGGCACAGCACUCAUUUCUGUUGUCCUGAUUAUGUGGCAUUCUCUGCUGGUCAGCUCGGUGCUCGACUCAAUUGUACAGGAAGCAUUCAGAGGACUUCAUUCUUCAGGACAGCUGCAUGCCUUUAGUUUUGAAAACC